UUUUAUACCCGUAUGUCCAGGGGAGUGGCAUACAAUUCUCAUUGGCCUUUUUUCAAAAAAGCAGAGGUGUUUGGGGCUCCCAAGAGUGACCCCUUGUGUCACUACAUCGUCAAGUGAGUGACAGAUAGGGAACCAAAAAUAAUCCACGAGACAAUGUGUUACUGAUUACAAUUUUAGUUAUGUAAAAAGUACCAGUUUACAAUUAACAGUUUACAGAAAAUAAUCUGCACUGUCAUCUACUAAUAAAAAUCUGGAAUAUUCAGACUAGUUGAAAAAGGACCAUCAGCACCAAGUGUGGAAACCAAACAUACUGGUUUUACUUGUUCACAAGUUUGCAGUUUCCCAUGUUUAAAUCAAACUGAAAUGUAUUGUUCAAAUAUAACUUCUCUGGCCCACAUAGCUCGCAAUCAUCCGAUCAUCUCUGGCUGAAAUGCUCUUGUAAUCGAGGUCAGGAAACAUCGACUGAACUUCACUUCAGUCUACUGAAGCCACUAAAAGACUCAAGUCACCAUAACAAUAUAAGGGUCCCUAGUUGGAACAUUUCCACCAACAUGUGGAGUUACAUCUUUUUUGUCAUCUGUUUAGAUGAAAUAAAAAGAAGAAGAAAGAAGCAAACACUGUGGUUGCAGCACUUACACAGGUCCAACAUCUAACUACAGCUUGGCAUCAUAAAUUUCUCAGUGACCAUUUAAUGAACACGAGUUAAUAUUAUGUUCAUUCAUGUUAAUGUCAACAUACAUUAAAUCACUUUUCAAAUCAAAA